rnacentral:rRNA from 1 species
UACGGGGGGGGCAAGCGUUGUUCGGAAUUACUGGGCGUAAAGGGCUCGUAGGCGGCCAACUAAGUCGGACGUGAAAUCCCCAGGCUCAACCUGGGAACUGCGUCCGAUACUGGAUGGCUUGAAUCCGGGAGAGGGAUGCAGAAUUCCAGGUGUAGCGGUGAAAUGCGUAGAUAUCUGGAGGAAUACCGGUGGCGAAGGCGGCAUCCUGGACCGGCAUUGACGCUGAGGAGCGAAAGCGUGGGUAGCAAACAGG